CAGCAGCCGCGGUAAUACGUAGGGUGCAAGCGUUAAUCGGAAUUACUGGGCGUAAAGCGUGCGCAGGCGGUUAUAUAAGACAUAUGUGAAAUCCCCGGGCUCAACCUGGGAACUGCAUUUGUGACUGUAUAGCUAGAGUACGGCAGAGGGGGAUGGAAUUCCGCGUGUAGCAGUGAAAUGCGUAGAUAUGCGGAGGAACACCGAUGGCGAAGGCAAUCCCCUGGGCCUGUACUGACGCUCAUGCACGAAAGCGUGGGGAGCAAACAGGAUUAGAUACCCCUGUAGUCCCUGUCUCUUAUAC
rnacentral:rRNA from 1 species